GUUUAGUAUUUCCUGGUUCAUUUGGUAGAGCCUGGGACUCUUAAUCUCGGGGUUGUGAGUUCAAGUCCCACACUGGGCA